rnacentral:lncRNA from 1 species
UAAAUUUCAACCAUUGACUGUAAGAAGAAAAAUAAAAGCUAAGGAAGAAAACAAAACGAGUGAUUGUAGCCUUGCUUUUCGAGUUUCUACCUCCAUUUUCAGCUUCUUGAAUCUCCAAAAGUUGUCUAUAAUUUCUCCUAAAAAUACCAUAUUUAUACUAAUAAUCUUAACCUACAACUCCUUAAGUUAACCUACUAAUUCUAACUAUUGGGCUUAAUAGUGUAAUGAGGCCCAAAUAUCCAAUAUCAUCUUUCAAAAUUGCCAUUCCCACAACAUACACUUUGCCAUCUUCCAACAUGAUUUUCUCUAUUCUCAAGGUAGAACAAGGCAAAGUGAUCUUAUAACUGUAGCUCUGUCUUUAAGCUUUCCAAUGGUCUAAGAAUCACAUCAUUUGGAGUUCUGUAGCGAGAGUUAUGAGCAAAAUACCGAAGCAUAUGCAAGUAGAAUUCUAAAUCCUUCAAAAACCUAACUUUCCAAAAUUAAGCCCAAUUCCCUUAAUUCCU